rnacentral:rRNA from 1 species
GACGAACGCUGGCGGCGUGCUUAACACAUGCAAGUCGAACGAGAAGAGAUGAGAAGCUUGCUUCUUAUUGAUUCGAGUGGCAAACGGGUGAGUAACGCGUAAGCAACCUGCCCCUUCAGAUGGGGACAACAGCUGGAAACGGCUGCUAAUACCGAAUACGUUCUUUUGUCGCAUGGCAGAGGGGAAGAAAGGGAGGCUCUUCGGAGCUUUCGCUGAAGGAGGGGCUUGCGUCUGAUUAGCUAGUUGGAGGGUAACGGCCCACCAAGGCGACGAUCAGUAGCCGGUCUGAGAGGAUGAACGGCCACAUUGGGACUGAGACACGGCCCAGACCUCCUACGGGAGGCAGCAGUGGGGAAUCUUCCGCAAUGGACGAAAGUCUGACGGAGCAACGCCGCGUGAACGAUGACGGCCUUCGGGUUGUAAAGUUCUGUUAUACGGGACGGAAUGGUACGACGGUCGAAUACCCGUCGUAAGU